UACGUAGGGUGCGAGCGUUAAUCGGAAUUACUGGGCGUAAAGGGUGCGCAGGCGGCGUCGCAAGUCAGGCGUGAAAUCCCCGGGCUUAACCUGGGAAUUGCGAUGGAGACUGCAAGGCUUGAAUCUGGCAGAGGGGGGUAGAAUUCCACGUGUAGCAGUGAAAUGCGUAGAGAUGUGGAGGAACACCGAUGGCGAAGGCAGCCCCCUGGGUCAAGAUUGACGCUCAUGCACGAAAGCGUGGGGAGCAAACAGG
rnacentral:rRNA from 1 species